rfam:Oryza sativa (indica cultivar-group) chromosome 1, whole genome shotgun sequence.
ACUCAGCGCAGUUAUGGAUUUCAGUGUCCAACUUUGACCGUCUGUCUUAUUUUAAAAAUUUCUAUUAUUACUAUUUUUAUUGUUAUUUGAUAAUAAAAUAUAAAGAGUACUUUAUGUGUGACUUAAUUUUUUUUAAAAUUUCAUAAAUUUUUUAAAUAAGACGGACGGUCAAACGUUAGACACGAAAAUUUAUGGCUGCACUGAAA